UUUGCCCACGUUCAGCCAGUGGGAGGUCAGACCCGAGGCUAUUUCGCUGCCAGCCUCCUGCCCAACACGGUGAGGAAAAUUACCAGGACGACAAGAUGUGGUUUUCAGGUUAAUCAGCGCUCCCAGCAGUUGGACACAAGAGGUCUAUGUUUCAAUUUUCCCCUCCUUCCUUCCCCGCCUAUGGGAAGAGCUGGUCAACACAUGGUCCCAUUUCAUCCGUGCACAGCCUCAAGGGAGAGAGUAGAGGCGACUGAAGUGUCCUGGAGUCAUCUUCUGUCCUCGGCAGCUUCCUUCAUGUGGCUUUAGGGGAUGGUAAGAGCCAAGGAAGAGAAGAGGCAGGGAGAAGCCUAUGUGAUGAGGGAGGCCCGAGGCUGAAGCGGUGCAUCUCCCAGCCAAGAACUAGCGGGGAUUCCUGACAGUGCCCAGAAGCUGGGGGAGGCAAGGAGGAAUUCUGUCCUAGAGCCUUCAGGGGCACCUUGGCCCGGAUGACAUCUUGAUCUCAGAUUGCCGGCAUCCAGAAAUGGUUGCCACAGCAGCGGUGAGGACCAAGGGUGGACAGUGCCGGGUGGCAGAACAGGAAGAACACAUCCUCAACCUCGGAGUAACGGUGUGUGAGCCCCAGAACAGGCAAUUGGAACCGUGUUUGUCGGAAACCCGAGGAGCUGAGGGCUGGCUCGCACACCUGCACAGGUGUGUGCUCACACUCAGCAUGAGCGGGGCCACUGCACUGGGACUUGCAGCCACUUCUUCCUGUGUUCUAAGUCAAUAUCCACUCCCAUACCUCAUUUCGUGUUUGUAACUGUGUUUCUAUAGAAGCUCCCACACAACUUGGAAGAAGGCCCCACAAGCCUGGCUCGGCUCCUGCUGUGCGUGUUUGAUCUAUACGUUACGUGCAGUUUUUUAUUUUGAUCUUGGGAUGUUGUCAGUGCUUUCUUGGGACAAAAACAGCCCUUCAUUAUUCAAUUAGUCUCAUGAUACUUGACAUCCAUUGCGCCCUGACAGUGUGCCAGGCGCAUGUAGUACUUCCCUGCAUUG